GACGAACGCUGGCGGCGUGCCUAAUACAUGCAAGUCGAACGCACUCUCGUUUAGAUUGAAGGAGCUUGCUCCUGAUUGAUAAACAUUUGAGUGAGUGGCGGACGGGUGAGUAACACGUGGGUAACCUGCCCUAAAGUGGGGGAUAACAUUUGGAAACAGAUGCUAAUACCGCAUAAAACCUAACACCGCAUGGUGUAGGGUUGAAAGAUGGUUUCGGCUAUCACUUUAGGAUGGACCCGCGGUGCAUUAGUUAGUUGGUGAGGUAAAGGCUCACCAAGACCGUGAUGCAUAGCCGACCUGAGAGGGUAAUCGGCCACACUGGGACUGAGACACGGCCCAGACUCCUACGGGAGGCAGCAGUAGGGAAUCUUCCACAAUGGACGAAAGUCUGAUGGAGCAACGCCGCGUGAGUGAAGAAGGUUUUCGGAUCGUAAAACUCUGUUGUUGGAGAAGAAUGUAUCUGAUAGUAACUGAUCAGGUAGUGACGGUAUCCAACCAGAAAGCCACGGCUAACUACGUGCCAGCAGCCGCGGUAAUACGUAGGUGGCAAGCGUUGUCCGGAUUUAUUGGGCGUAAAGCGAGCGCAGGCGGUUUCUUAAGUCUGAUGUGAAAGCCUUCGGCUCAACCGAAGAAGUGCAUCGGAAACUGGGAAACUUGAGUGCAGAAGAGGACAGUGGAACUCCAUGUGUGGCGGUGAAAUGCGUAGAUAUAUGGAAGAACACCAGUGGCGAAGGCGGCUGUCUGGUCUGUAACUGACGCUGAGGCUCGAAAGCAUGGGUAGCAAACAGGAUUAGAUACCCUGGUAGUCCAUGCCGUAAACGAUGAGUGCUAGGUGUUGGAGGGUUUCCGCCCUUCAGUGCCGCAGCU
rnacentral:rRNA from 1 species